rnacentral:rRNA from 1 species
CGUAGGGUGCGAGCGUUAAUCGGAAUUACUGGGCGUAAAGUGUGCGCAGGCGGCCAUGCAAGUCGAGUGUGAAAGCCCCGGGCUUAACUUGGGAAUUGCGCUCGAAACUACGUGGCUGGAGUGUGGCAGAGGAAGGUGGAAUUCCACGUGUAGCGGUGAAAUGCGUAGAGAUGUGGAGGAACACCAAUGGCGAAGGCAGCCUUCUGGGCCAACACUGACGCUCAUGCACGAAAGCGUGGGGAGCAAACAGGAUUAGAUACCCUGGUAGUCCACGCCCUAAACGAUGACGACUAGUUGUUGGAGGAGUUAAAUCCUUUAGUAACGCAGCUAACGCGCGAAGUCGUCCGCCUGGGGAGUACGGUCGCAAGAUUA